GGGUGAGCAGUGCUGCAGUCAGCAUUAGGGAAGCUAGAAGCAACAAAAGAACCAGAGGGCUGAGUCACUGUGCCCGCUGGCCUUUCCGGAUGCGCUGGAGAGCGUGACCACAAAUGAGGACUGUUUCUCCCUGGGCAACUGCUGAGUCAAAGGCUGUAUUGUUGCCGGAGCCCAUUGAUGCACAUUCCCAUUUGCCUCUCAGCAAACAGCUGCCCUGGUUUAUAAAUUAAGGAUUCAAAACACCAUCUCUCCAGAAGUUAUUUCCCCCAGGAUUUCAUAUAAAGAUGGCUUUGAUUGUCAUGCGCUCAUUUCUCCUUAGGGUUGCCUUGUGCAUUCAGCUGCAUGGUGUAGUCGCUAACGAAGAUGAAGAUGUGACUCCUGCAACAAUAUAGGGAUUUCUUGGAACACUGGGAGGGCUCUUUUUAUAAUUUAUGUCAACACUGAGCUGAGCGGGUGCCAGUGCGCAUGAAUACAUGACGCCUUCCUAUUCUCUGACUCUAAUCCAGCAAGUCUUGCUGUGGGUUGCCCCUGCUCUUUAGGUAUCCUGCAAACAGGACUUCAAGGCAAAGGCGCUGGAUUUGGAGGUAAAAGGAAGAGAAAAAUAAAGUUGCUUGGUUGGGCA
rnacentral:lncRNA from 1 species